rnacentral:snoRNA from 2 species
AAACCAUGAUGGGGGCAAAGCCUAAACAUUUCUUUGAAACGCUCUCACGCAUCGUAAAGAGAUUCUCCAUCUCUUUGAGUGAAUUAUGUGAUUUGAUUCCUCAUUU